rnacentral:rRNA from 1 species
CAUAUCAAUAAGCGGAGGAAAAGAAACCACCAAGGAUUCCCCUAGUAACGGCGAGUGAAGCGGGAAGAGCUCAAAAUUUGAAAUCUGGUAGCCUUCGGUUGCCCGAGUUGUAAUCUAGAGAAGUGUUUUCCGUGCCGGCCCAUGUACAAGUCCCUUGGAACAGGGCGUCAUAGAGGGUGAGAAUCCCGUCCUUGACAUGGACCCCCGGUGCUUUGUGAUACACUUUCAACGAGUCGAGUUGUUUGGGAAUGCAGCUCAAAAUGGGUGGUGAAUUCCAUCUAAAGCUAAAUAUUGGCGAGAGACCGAUAGCGAACAAGUACCGUGAGGGAAAGAUGAAAAGCACUUUGGAAAGAGAGUUAAACAGUACGUGAAAUUGUUGAAAGGGAAACGAUUGAAGUCAGUCAUGCUCUUGGGACUUACCUCCCUUGAGUGGGGUCAACAUCAGUUUUGAUCGAUGGAUAAAGGCACUAGGAAGGUAGCACUCUCGGGUGAACUUAUAGCCUAGCGUCAUAUACAUUGAUUGGGACUGAGGAACGCAGCAUGCCUUUUGGCCGGGAUUCGUCCACGUACAUGGCUUGUUUUUGCCUAGGA